AGAGGCCCAUGUGGUGAGGUUCUGAAGCCUUCUGCCAACAACAUGUGAGGCAGCCAUCUUGACUAAGACCGCCCAGCCUCAGUCAAGGCUUCCAACAGCUUGCAACUGCAGGAGAGACCCUAAUGCAGAAGUACCCGAUUGGGCUGCUCUCAGAUUCCCCGACGUCAGAAAUUGUCAGAGACAGAUCGCCUAGGAUCAUGACCUGAGUGGAACAAAGGCAGAUGCUUAGCCGGCUGAGACACCCAGUUGCCCCUGAAGACCCCGGAAAGAGAAGGUCUUCAGAUCAGAGGGAAAGAAGGCAGCUGCUGUGAGACAGCUACCAUCUGGGCCGGAUGCAGGGUGAGGAACUCUGCCUAGACCAUGUCACCUCUUCCUAGCGGCACUGAAUCCUUAGCAGGGCAGACAUGAGAAGCCCCACUUAGGUCUGGAUCAAGAGUAGAGGGACGGGUGCUCUGCCUUCUGGCUGUAGCUCUGGGAGGUCCGCCAGCCCCAGAGAUGUAGUGACGGCCGCCUGGGGUCCUUGGUUGUCCUCACCCGGAGUAUCCACCCUCCCCCCAUGAGAUGCACCCCAAGGCUUUUCUGCACAAUUGAGGAUUGUACAAAGGUGAGGCUAAGGGCUGGAGGGCCCUGAUGAGGGAGGCACACCAUGGGGAUGGAGGGUGAGCCCACACGGGGCGGAUCCACACUGAGCCACGAGCCCCAAAACACUGACCCUGGAUAAUCAGCCCCAGAGAGGAGGAGGAUAAAGAGAGAAAUCCUGAUUUUAUUGGAGUUUAAACAAGAAGCAACUUAGAGAUUAUUGCAGUGACUAAGUUUAUCUGAAAGUUAUCAGAUUAAAUGUUAUCUGAGAUAAUAUGGGGCCAAAUGCAGCUUAUGAUAAAAAUAAGCUGAAUAAUGAGAAAAAGAAAACUCACAUGUUUGCAUGUCAAAGCAUGAGGAAUGUAGAAUGAUGUCCCUGGAAGACUGAGGCCGGCCUUCUCCACGGAUCCUCGAGGCUGAGCUCCCGCUCAGCCCCAGGACAACCUCUCUGGAUCUCCUGACGCCAAGGGAACUUCUGAGGGUCUAAGCUAAGGGUUCCCCUGUGAUUCUUUCCGCCAAGAUGUAGGGGAGGCUUUCUAGCCCCCAGGGGAAGGAGAGAGUGACAAUCCCACAGGGGGACGCCGCAGUAAAUCUGUCCCUCAGGAACUCACAUGUCAUGGCAGCCCCUGGGGAGAGACCUAACGCACCACUGUGUUUCAGAACCUUGCUGGACUCCACGUGAGCUCGAUCCUCAUAGAUCACGGAUGUCGCAGACAACGUAAAGGUUAUGAAGCAAAAUCAACAAACGCCACAGGGGAACCCACCACCUCACUUGAGGACUGCGCCCCGCAUCUACUCCUCACCGCAACCUGUGAGAUCCCAUUUCACAGAUGGAGAAACAGAGGCUCAGUGAGGUCUAGGUCACAGGAACCAGUGAGUGGCUGAGUCAGGAUUUACCCCCUGUUGGUCUGUGCCCUUCCUGCCCCCUUGGCUCUCUCACGAGGGGUCCGAGUUCCCUGCCCAGGUCCUCUGUGCCCUCAUCUUCUGGAGGAUUGUAGGUCCCCCUGCCCAGGUGUCUGCAUCCCGCUGCAUCACAGAGCUUGAACGGAGCUUCCCCCCCCCGCCAUGCUGAGCUGAGUCACCCCAGCCUCUGGGCACCCCCUAGAGUCAGGACAGCAGAGGAGCCCACACGGUCUCACUCGGCACCCCCUCAGCAGCCGCAUGGGGACACCAGGACUGCCCAGAGUUGAGAACACCCGGUUUAUCAGGUGUUUCCAGGCUGAACACACAAAGCGGCUGCUGGCCACAGAGAAAGGAAGGCUGGGCUUGGAUGAUCCAUUGGUGGGAGACCUGGCCAGG